rnacentral:tRNA from 1 species
GCAGAGAUGAUGUAACAGGAAAACAUACCUGACUUAGAAUCAGGUUUCUGUGGGUUCGAAUCCCACUCUCUGUA